AUGGACGGACCAUGGCGAGACCUAGCUACAUCUACAUGUGCAGGUGACAGUAACAACCGUAGCAUAUGGGAUCUUAUCUGGAAGGCUUCAGUGCCGGAAAAGGUUAAAAUAUUUGGUUGGAGGGUUGCGACCAAUACCCUGGCCACCAAGAAGAAUAAAUUCAAACGAACUCUGGAGGUGGAUACUACGUGUAGCAUAUGUGGAUAUGCAGAGGAAGAGGAGUUCCACAGUGUGAUAGAAUGCACCAAAAGCAAGGCUUUGAGAUUUGCAAUGAGAGAGGUUUGGGACCUCCCGGAUGAGGCGACAUUCAGAAACACUGGCAGAGAUUGGCUAUAGAUCAUCCUGGACACAUGCAAUGCAGACAUGCGGGAUAAAAUCCUUUUACUGAUAUGGAGAGCAUGGUUCCUACGGGACAACUGCGUGCAUGGGGAUGGGAAAGAAUCC
rnacentral:rRNA from 1 species